rnacentral:rRNA from 1 species
CCCUUAGAUGUUCUGGGCUGCACGCGCGCUACACUGAAACGUUCAACGAGUAUUCACCUUGCCCGGGAGGGUUGGGUAAUCUUUUGAAAACGCUUCGUGAUGGGGAUAGAUUAUUGCAAUUAUUAAUCUUCAACGAGGAAUUCCUAGUAAGCGCGAGUCAUCAGCUCGUGCUGAUUACGUCCCUGCCCUUUGUACACACCGCCCGUCGCUCCUACCGAUUGAGCGAUCCGGUGAAUAAUUCGGACUGCAGCACUGCUUGGUCUCCAGGAUUUGCAGCGGAAAGUUUAGUGAACCUUAUCACUUAGAGGAAGGAGAAGUCGUAACA